UACGGAGGGUGCAAGCGUUAUCCGGAUUCACUGGGUUUAAAGGGUCCGUAGGCGGCCCAGUAAGUCAGUGGUGAAAUCUCCCGGCUCAACCGGGAAAUUGCCAUUGAUACUGCUGGGCUUGAAUUACCAGGAAGUAACUAGAAUAUGUAGUGUAGCGGUGAAAUGCUUAGAUAUUACAUGGAAUACCGAUUGCGAAGGCAGGUUACUACUAGUGGAUUGACGCUGAUGGACGAAAGCGUGGGUAGCGAACAGG
rnacentral:rRNA from 1 species